UGUUAACGUUUUUGCUUUUCGAUGAGAGUUACCCAUGGAUGAAACAAAAUUUUGGAUGGCGCCACGUUCCUCGUCUGUGAUUGAUUAGCUGUGUAGUAUACCGUGUAUGGACGAGAGAAUGGCAUCUACUUAAUGUUGACAGGUUUGCUGGUCCGUGCUGGAGUUCUGUGACCUGUAGAGCAGCUGGUGGUGUGUGCCAAUCUUGAGAAGAUGGCAACUGGGAAACAGUUUGAUGACUUACCAAAUGAAGUACUUCUGAAGAUAUUCUCAUACUUGAGCAUUGAAGAUUUGUCAAUGUCUACACACGAUGUGAGCAUACGCUGGAGAGAAGUGUCACAAGACAAUAAAUUAUGGAAAAAUGCUGUCUUCAGUCCUCGAAAAGAGAUAACUGAUAAAGAAAUAAUUAAAUAUCUAGAAAAUAUGCCAGCACUGAAAUCAUUUUCUGCUACACGAAUAAUGGCAAAUAUAGUAAUUGAUACUUUGUGUAGGUCUUGUAGAGCCAUACAAAGUAUAGAGCUUCACACUUCACAUAACAUGAAAGUUCCACUUCUGCAGAAAAUAAUACAUCACUUUCCACAUAUUGAGUCUCUUAAAGUUCCUCUUCCAUAUCCUGUGUUACUAGAGCAAUUAAAAUUUGCUGAACUUAUUGGACAGUGUCAGUCAUUAAGAAGAUUGAGUUUAGAUGGAAACUCUGGGCACACAUUCAUACGUCAAGGAGUUUUGAUACCAAUAGCAUAUGGAUGUCCAUCACUGCAACAUAUGCAUCUAGGAAAUUAUGGCCAGAUAGAUGAAGAUAUCCAAAAUAUAUUACAGAAAAAGAGUCAUCACCUUCUGUCUUUUUCUUGUAAAAUAUUUGUGACAAAAGAUAUAGCAGAACAUAUAAGUGAAUGCACAAAACUUCAACAUCUUGAAAUUGAGAACUAUAAUGAUCAUUUAUUGUUUGAUGAUAUUAAGUCUCUUUUAAAAAUAACACAUUUGAAAUAUUUUACGUUCCGUUUUUGUUCAGAAGAUGUUGUAAAUAAUCUGCCUUUGUUCUUUCUAAGUGGAAUGUUUUCACAGAUAGUACACCUUGACCUAAGUGAAUCUUAUUAUAUUAAUGACAUAACUGUGACUACAAUUUGUGAGACAUGUCCUCAAUUACGACAUCUGAACGUUUGUGGUGGUCAGAGCCUACAGAAUGAUGGACUCCGAUAUAUUGGAAAAUGUGUUCAUUUAGAACAUCUGGAUUUAUCUGUGUGUAUGGAUCUUACAGAUGGUAGCAUGGAGUAUGUUGGUUCAGGCUGUCACAAUCUAAAGAAACUUGAUAUAUCAGGAUGUUAUAAGAUGACAGACAGGGUGAUUGAACACGUUGUGAAGUGUACAGAGUUGCGAGUUCUAAAAUUCAAUUACAAUGACCUAACAGGAUCAACUUUCCACCUUAUCUCAACUCAUCUCCAGCACUUGGCUGAAGUACACCUUGAGAACUGCAUGUAUUUGGAUGAUGUAUAUGUAGAUGAACUCCACAAACAAAUGCCACGCUUGAAGAUAAUAGUGGCACGGCGAUGUAAGGAACUAUAUCUUGAUCCAGAAGAUGCUGUACUCUUUGAUUAUCUGUGUAUAUCAGAGGAGUUGUCACUGUCACAAGUGUAAAGAUACUGAGGAGAAUAUUUGGACCUAAGAAGCAAGAAGUAAUAUCAGAUUGGAGAAAAUUACAUAAUGAGAACGAGGAUGGGAUAAAUAGAGCAUGAAGAAUGAACAACAGAGAAGAGAAAUGUGUAAAAAUUUUAGUCAGAAAACCUGAAGGGAAGAGAUUCUGGACAUAGAUGGAUGCAAAGCUUACCCUUCCAGUGAGAGAGAAGUGUUACUGUGCAAGUGAAAAGUACUUCAGUAGUCUGAACUGAAUACUUAUGCAAUAAGGAGGGUUGUGUGUCAGGUGCUUUAUUUUCGGCAUGUAGCAUUGGUGGCAUGGAAAUGAGCUCGUUUCUAUAGAAGCAUGUAUUACUUAAUGGGUUAAUGAUUGACCACGCUAAGGAAAAUCAGAACUAAUUGUGGAAACAACCCUUUCAACAUUAAAAUAUUUUAGGGUGGACUUUCUAAGGUUUAUUUAAGAUGGCUUAAUAUCAGUAGCAACAGGAGGGGUGUUAACACUGAUGUUUGAAGUUUCAUUAUUGUCUCUGAUAUGUCAAGGAAUUGUGGCUAGAUUUUCUUGCCUAGACAGUUGGGCAUUCAUAUAAGGUAGCCCUCGAUUUACGCCGGGGAUGCGUUCCUGGAUGAACCGGCGUAAAUUUAAACUCGUUUA